GGGAAACUGCCUGAUGGAGGGGGAUAACUACUGGAAACGGUAGCUAAUACCGCAUAACCUCGCAAGAGCAAAGAGGGGGACCUUUGGGCCUCUCGCCAUCAGAUGUGCCCAGAUGGGAUUAGCUAGUAGGUGAGGUAAUGGCUCACCUAGGCGACGAUCCCUAGCUGGUCUGAGAGGAUGACCAGCCACACUGGAACUGAGACACGGUCCAGACUCCUACGGGAGGCAGCAGUGGGGAAUAUUGCACAAUGGGCGCAAGCCUGAUGCAGCCAUGCCGCGUGUGUGAAGAAGGCCUUCGGGUUGUAAAGCACUUUCAGCGAGGAGGAAGGCGGUAAGGUUAAUAACCUUAUCGAUUGACGUUACUCGCAGAGGAAGCACCGGCUAACUCCGUGCCAGCAGCCGCGGUAAUACGGAGGGUGCAAGCGUUAAUCGGAAUGACUGGGCGUAAAGCGCACGCAGGCGGUCUGUUAAGUUGGAUGUGAAAUCCCCGGGCUUAACCUGGGAACUGCAUUCAAAACUGACAGGCUAGAGUCUUGUAGAGGGGGGUAGAAUUCCAGGU
rnacentral:rRNA from 1 species